ACAGCUCUUGUUUUAUUACCACUUCUUUUUGGUACAUUUUACAUAUUCCUUAAUGUAGACAUCAUUUUUAUGUUACACAUGUAAGGGUCUCGUUUUCUGACACAAAUUAUUUAUGAUUUCUUUCCACUGGCUCAGUAGCAGACAUAGACUUUUAAGGCACACAGGAUGCUGGACUGUAGAAGAUGGGCAAACAGAUCAUAUGGAUUAAUUAUAGAUACAGUGCAAGUAAAAACAGGGUUUAUAGUUUAGAAGACUCGUUAUCAAAAUAUUUUUUGUCAUUUUCAGGAUAUAUUAACUGACAAGAUUGUUGUACAGUGCCUGAAGAAGUGUAAUGAUGAUGGUGAAGAUGAUAACAAUGAUCAUGAUGGAAAUGAUGAUGUUGCUACCACAUGUACCACAGCAAAUCAACAUCUUUUCACAGAUCAUCUUUUCUAAAGUGUUUACCUUAGCUAGAUUAGACAGUAGAAACACCAAAACAGUGUACAUAGCAUCUAAAGGACAGUGAUAACCCUGAUUUACGUGACAGAGGCUACAUAUACUGGAGAUUACUCUCCACUGACCCAGCCGCUGCUAAAGAAGUUGUACUUGCUGAGAAACCUCUGAUCUCAGAGGAGACAGAUCUGAUUGAGCCGACCCUGCUUGACGAACUGAUCUGCCACAUCUCGAGUCUAGCAUCGGUCUAUCAUAAACCACCCAAUGCAUUCGUGGAAGGACGGGGUGGACAGAGAAGAGUACUGCCAGUUAAAUCUCAAGGACUGUCAAAGGUAAAGACCACAGGUGUAGCAAGCAACAGACAAGUAGCAGUCACAAAUAAAACAACAUUACGGUGCAUAAUUAAAAAAUGUAUAUGAUUUCUUUACCAUAUAAGUUACCAGAAUAUACCUUAUAAAUUACCAGCAUAUGAUUGUAUGACACUUUUAAAUCAUAUACUAGAUUCCUGCCCAUCUGUCUGUCCGUCAUUCUGUCCACAUUAAGCUUGUCUGGCUUUCACAGGUCAAACUGCUGGCUGGAUUAUGAUGAAACUUCACAGGAGUGAUCAGUACCAAGCCUAGUUGUGCAUAUCGCCAACACAGUCUGCUUCACUGCACAAAAUGGCCACCACAGAUUAAAAGCGUAAAAUUUUCACACGUCAAACUGCUGGCCGGAUAUCGACCAAACUUCACAGGAGUGAUCAGUACCAAGCCUAGUUGUGCCUAUUGCCGACACGUUCUGCUUUGCUGCACAAAAUGGCCGCCAGAGCUUAAAAUAGAAAAAUCUUUUCUGGCUUUCACAGGUCAAACUGCUGGCUAGAUUUCAACGAAACUUCACCAAUCCUAGUUGUGCAUAUCACUGGCACAUUCUGCUUUGCUGCACAAAAUAGCCACCAGAGCUAAAAAUAGAAAAAUCUUGUCCAACUCACAGGUUACCAGAAUAUACCAUAUAAAUUACCAGAAUAUGUUUGUAUGGCAC